GACGAAGGGGGCUAGCGUUGUUCGGAAUUACUGGGCGUAAGGCGCGUGUAGGCGGUUGCCCAAGUCGGGUGUGAAAGCCUUGAGCUCAACUCAAGAAAUGCACUCGGUACUGGGUGACUAGAGGACCGGAGAGGAUAGUGGAAUUCCCAGUGUAGUGGUGAAAUACGUAGAGAUUGGGAAGAACACCAGUGGCGAAGGCGGCUAUCUGGACGGUUUCUGACGCUAAGACGCGAAAGCGUGGGGAGCAAACAGG
rnacentral:rRNA from 1 species